rnacentral:rRNA from 1 species
AGUAACGCGUGAGGAACCUGCCUUCCAGAGGGGGACAACAGGUUGGAAACGACUGCUAAUACCGCAUGACACAUGACCGUGGCAUCACGGACAUGUCAAAAGAUUUUAUCGCUGGAAGAUGGCCUCGCGUCUGAUUAGCUGGUAGGCGGGGUAACGGCCCACCUAGGCGACGAUCAGUAGCCGGCCUGAGAGGGCGGACCGGCCACAGUUGGGACUGAGACACGGCCAAACUCCUACGGGAGGCAGCAG